rnacentral:piRNA from 1 species
UAAUAAGAAUAUGUGUUUUGCAG